AUAGAUAAAUAAGGUUGGAAUGGUAAUGUAGGCGGGGCAAGCGUGCCACAGUUAUGAUAGAACAAACAUAACUCGACCGAUUCUUUCAUUCACCGCGUUUAGUGCGCUUCGGACUACUUGGCGAACAGAUCUCCGCUUUAUAGUGCCGUGUUGUGCAAUUAUAACUUGUAAAACAAAAAAUCAGACCUCAAGUAUAGAGCGAGGAGGUAUAUCUUUCGAUCGCAAGUUAUAAAUAGCAUACAUUGCGCGAUGUGUACUCGCCCAAUGAACGCAAUGACCAAGUCAGCUUCCAAUGUACUACAUGCAUUGCGUUCUCUACACUUCAAUCUUUGAAAUUUCGGCCUUUGCCCUGAUUGGCCGUGCAGUUUGUCGAUAGUGAGGUGACCAUGUGGUAAAAUCAUCGACAGAAUUCUCGACUAUAUUUACAUUUGACAUGGAUAAUUUUUGCACUAUUUUAUAUUUAAUUAAUGAUACCUAGUAUAUUCUUAGUGAGACGUAUUUUGAGUAAAAUAAAUAUGUAUUAUUAUUAUUGAAUUAUUAUCAUUGAAUUAAAGUGAAGGUAUAAUAUAAAGGGACAUGUAGACCUCUAAUUUACGGGUAUUUACUAUAUUGUCUAAGACGUAUUAAAAUCUAAGUAAAAUGCUAUUUGACUUAUGCAGUAAAUUAAAAAUUUUAGGUUUCCUAAAGAACCUAACGCCAGGGAACAAUGGAUUGACGUGACAGGUAGAGGAAACUGGAGACAAAGACGAGUACUAUUUGCUCUAAACAUUUUACUGAAAAUGAUUUUAUCAUAAAAAAAAUCAGAAUACACUUAGUUUUGAAAAAUUCAUUCGCAAUUAAUAGCAAGCGCCAACUGCUUAACAAAUACGUUUUAUUCCAGCGACAGUGACUAUUUGUAAUUAAUAAAAGUAAAAUAGUUUUUUUUUUCAAUAUUUA